UGCCAGCCGCCGCGGUAAUACGAACCGUCCAAACGUUAUUCGGAUUCACUGGGCUUAAAGAGUGCGUAGGCGGCUUGGCAAGUUGGGUGUGAAAUCCCUCGGCUCAACCGAGGAACUGCGCUCAAAACUGCUGGGCUAGAGGGAGAUAGGGGUGAGCGGAACUAAUGGUGGAGCGGUGAAAUGCGUUGAUAUCAUUAGGAACACCGGAGGCGAAGGCGGCUCACUGGGUCUCUUCUGACGCUGAGGCACGAAAGCUAGGGGAGCGAACGGGAUUAGAUA
rnacentral:rRNA from 1 species